GCUUACGGCCAUACCAUCCUGUGUCUACCCACUCUCUUCAGAUCUCAGAAGCAAAGAAGGGUUGGGCUUUGUUAGUACUUUGCUGAGAGACCACCUGGGAGCAGAAGGUGCUGUAAGCU
rnacentral:rRNA from 1 species